AACGAACGCUGGCGGCAUGCCUAACACAUGCAAGUCGAACGAGACCUCCGGGUCUAGUGGCGCACGGGUGCGUAACGCGUGGGAACCUGCCCUUAGGUUCGGAAUAACUCUCCGAAAGGGGUGCUAAUACCGGAUAAUGUCUUCGGACCAAAGAUUUAUCGCCUUUGGAUGGGCCCGCGUUGGUUUAGCUAGUUGGUAGGGUAAAAGCCUACCAAGGCGACGAUCCAUAGCUGGUCUGAGAGGAUGAUCAGCCACACUGGGACUGAGACACGGCCCAGACUCCUACGGGAGGCAGCAGUGGGGAAUAUUGGACAAGGGGCGAAAGCCUGAUCCAGCAAUGCCGCGUGAGUGAUGAAGGCCUUAGGGUUGUAAAGCUCUUUUACCCGGGAUGAUAAUGACAGUACCGGGAGAAUAAGCUCCGGCUAACUCCGUG
rnacentral:rRNA from 1 species